rnacentral:rRNA from 1 species
GACGAACGCUGGCGGCGUGCUUAACACAUGCAAGUCGAACGCUGAAGCUCAGCUUUUGUUGGGUGGAUGAGUGGCGAACGGGUGAGUAACACGUGAGUAACCUGCCUCCUUCUUUGGGAUAACGCCCGGAAACGGGUGCUAAUACUGGAUAUUCACUGGUCUUCGCAUGGGGGUUGGUGGAAAGGGUUUUUCUGGUGGGGGAUGGGCUCGCGGCCUAUCAGCUUGUUGGUGGGGUGAUGGCCUACCAAGGCUUUGACGGGUAGCCGGCCUGAGAGGGUGACCGGUAACAGUGGGACUGAGAUACGGCCCAGACUCCUACGGGAGGCAGCAGUGGGGAAUAUUGCACAAUGGGCGCAAGCCUGAUGCAGCGACGCCGCGUGAGGGAUGGAGGCCUUCGGGUUGUGAACCUCUUUCGCUCAUGGUCAAGCCGCAACAAUGGUUGUGGUGAGGGUAGUGGGUAAAGAAGCGCCGGCUAACUACGUG